UGUCCGAUCUGGUCUGAUCUCAGAAGCUAAUAGGGUCGGGCCUGGUUAGUACUUGGAUGGGAGACCACCUAGGAAGACCAGGUGCUGUAGGCA
rnacentral:rRNA from 1 species